rnacentral:rRNA from 1 species
UACAGAGGGUGCAAGCGUUAAUCGGAAUACUGGGCGUAAAGCGUGCGCAGGCGGUUCUGCAAGUCAGAUGUGAAAUCCCCGGGCUUAACCUGGGAACUGCGUUUGAAACUACGGAGCUAGAGUGCGGCAGAGGGGGGUGGAAUUCCACGUGUAGCAGUGAAAUGCGUAGAUAUGUGGAGGAACACCGAUGGCGAAGGCAGCCCCCUGGGCCGACACUGACGCUCAGGCACGAAAGCGUGGGGAGCAAACAGG